CCUACGGGUGGCAGCAGUGGGGAAUAUUGGACAAUGGGCGAAAGCCUGAUCCAGCCAUGCCGCGUGUGUGAAGAAGGCCUUCGGGUUGUAAAGCACUUUCAGUGGGGAAGAAAGCCUUGGGGCUAAUACCCUCGAGGAAGGACAUCACCCACAGAAGAAGCACCGGCUAACUCCGUGCCAGCAGCCGCGGUAAUACGGAGGGUGCGAGCGUUAAUCGGAAUUACUGGGCGUAAAGCGCGCGUAGGCGGUCUGAUAAGCCGGUUGUGAAAGCCCCGGGCUCAACCUGGGAACGGCAUCCGGAACUGUCAGGCUAGAGUGCAGGAGAGGAAGGUAGAAUUCCCGGUGUAGCGGUGAAAUGCGUAGAGAUCGGGAGGAAUACCAGUGGCGAAGGAGGCCUUCUGGACUGACACUGACGCUGAGGUGCGAAAGCGUGGGUAGCAAACAGGAUUAGAUACCCGUGUAGUC
rnacentral:rRNA from 1 species